UACGGAGGGAGCUAGCGUUGUUCGGAAUUACUGGGCGUAAAGCGCACGUAGGCGGCUUUGUAAGUUAGAGGUGAAAGCCUGGGGCUCAACUCCAGAAUUGCCUUUAAGACUGCAUCGCUUGAAUCCAGGAGAGGUGAGUGGAAUUCCGAGUGUAGAGGUGAAAUUCGUAGAUAUUCGGAAGAACACCAGUGGCGAAGGCAGCUCUCUGGGACGGUACUGACGCUGAGACGCGAAAGCGUGGGGAGCGAACAGG
rnacentral:rRNA from 1 species